CACGCAUCAGUCAUGUUGGCACCCGUGCUGGCUAGCCUGGGGGGGCCAUCACUUUGCCCCGGCCCGGAGUGAGUGAGGGACGUGACCUCUGUGUCGAUGUUAUCCGCGGACGAGGACAAAGUGUGAGGUUCCUGAGUAUUCCUGAUGACCCAGAAGGUGUCGUGAGGGCGUGCAGCAGAGGACUGAGGCUGCGGGAGAGGUGAUGAAGGAGAUAAUCUUGUGUUCAUUGAAGAGUAACCAACCACCGCCGCCUCAUGGACAGUGACGUAAGUGGCCGCGUCAUUAGGAGCCCAGUGGGUUCCGUGCCUGGCAGAGUCGUGUGGAUUAAGGUGACAGCAGCCCACACUUGCCCGGCCCAGCACGCCCCUCACGGAGCCUCGCCUCGCACAUGCCUCGGCCCAGAUAGCAUCACACACGCCACGCCUCGCCUCGCCGCGCCUCCCCGUCCCUGCCGCCACCCCGCCGCCGAGCUGGACUCACACACCUGCAGGAUGGCCUGUCCAGGUAGCCAGGUGAGCGGCGGAGGUGGGAAAGGUAACAACCCCGGGCUGCCUCAGAAGAAACACCUUGCAUGUUUAUCGCCCACAAACACACCUGACACCCGCGCAGCCGCCGCCGAGGUGCCAGCAUUAUGAGCGUGACAAAGGAGACCAGAUUAACUCCGGGAAAGCGCAUCCUAAGUGACCGUUCUUGGUGUGCUGAUGCUGCUGCCAGGUGCGGAGGAGGGCUGAUUGAAGGCAGGUGCGCUAAUGAUGUUCUUCCUCACGGGCGCCAGCGGACCAUUACCUGGGGAGGACGCCAUCACACAAGUAUUAUCAAUAGUGCUCUAUGAGGCUCUUCAUAUUUAUGUGAGCCUAACUGACGCUUGGAGAUCGAUGACCACUGCUGCUAAACCCACCUGAGAGUCCUCCAGAUGUCGAAGCACAUGACGUUGAGCCAGAAGAAGGCAGCGAGCAGACUGAAGUGUUUGAAGAAGGCUGGGGAGGGAGAGAAGGAGAGCCCGUGGUCAGAGUGGAGAGGCUGAGACUGCGACACGGUAGUAAACAGCUGACAUAUGAAAGGAGGCAAGAGGUCUUGAGAGUGUUUGGCGAAUCUGCGGGGCGGGGCUGACCCGCAUCGGCUGACACCCCACCGGCCAGUUUCAAAUGGGAAUACUAUAGCGGGAACCUGAUUGCCGGCACGCUCCUGGAAGAGUCUGGGCAGGGUGACGUUGGUGAGGCUGCCCCGCUACCAGGGGAAACUGAAGAACUGGCUUGGCACGCCAUGAUGGUGAGAUGCCGCAGUGGUAGUAUCUAUAGUAGUAGUAGUAGUAGUAGUAAUAGUAGCAGUGAUAAUAGCAGUAGUUGUAGCUGUGGUGUAGUAGUGGUUGUUGUUGUUGUUAAAGCAAUAGUAGUUGUAAUUUAUAUAUAGUGAAUAUUAGCCAUGUCUUGUACUAACAUACAGCAACAUAAUAAGAUUAAAAAUAAGAGUGAUUUCUAAGCCGCAUAGAGAUAAACUAAACUAUUUUUGUUGAUGCUAAAACUAUAACUGAAACACACAAAUGACAGAUAGUGUCAAAACCUCCGAUAUACACGCAGCAUGUCGUUAUUAAACUUAUUAGUAAUUUAGAGAGAGAGAGAGA